CACGUAGGGUGCGAGCGUUGUCCGGAAUUAUUGGGCGUAAAGAGCUCGUAGGCGGUGUGUCGCGUCGGCCGUGAAAACUUGGGGCUUAACUCUGAGCGUGCGGUCGAUACGGGCAUCACUUGAGUUCGGCAGGGGAGACUGGAAUUCCUGGUGUAGCGGUGAAAUGCGCAGAUAUCAGGAGGAACACCGGUGGCGAAGGCGGCUUCCUGGACCGACACUGACGCUGAGGCGCGAAAGCUAGGGGAGCAAACGGG
rnacentral:rRNA from 1 species